UACGUAGGGUGCAAGCGUUAAUCGGAAUUACUGGGCGUAAAGCGUGCGCAGGCGGCUUUGCAAGACAGAUGUGAAAUCCCCGGGCUUAACUCGGAACGGUCAACUGAUACUGCGCGGCUAGAGUGCAGAAGGGGCAACUGGAAUUCUCGGUGUAGCGGUGAAAUGCGUAGAUAUCGAGAGGAACACCUGCGGCGAAGGCGGGUUGCUGGGCUGACACUGACGCUGAUGCGCGAAAGCCAGGGGAGCGAACGGG
rnacentral:rRNA from 1 species